rnacentral:rRNA from 1 species
UACGGAGGAUGCGUGCGUUAUCCGGAUUUAUUGGGUUUAAAGGGUGCGCAGGCGGCACGGCAAGCCGGCGGUCAAAUCGCGGGGCUCAACCCCGCCCAGCCGUCGGAACUGCCGGGCUAGAGUGGGCGAGAAGUGCGCGGAAUGCGUGGUGUAGCGGUGAAAUGCAUAGAUAUCACGCAGAACUCCGAUUGCGAAGGCAGCGCACCGGCGCCCUACUGACGCUCAGGCACGAAAGCGUGGGUAUCGAACAGG